GGCCCCGUGGUCAAGCGGUUAAGACACCGCCCUUUCACGGCGGUAACAGGGGUUCGAAUCCCGUCGGGGUCA
rnacentral:tRNA from 1 species